CUGGCCUCAAAUCAGGCAAGACUACCCGCUGAACUUAAGCAUAUCAAUAAGCGGAGGAAAAGAAACAAACAUGGAUUCCCCUAGUAACGGCGAGUGAAGCGGGAAAAGCUCAAAUUUGAAAGCUGGCAGCAAUGUCCGCGUUGUAAUCUAGAGAAGUGUUUUCCGUGCUGAUCUGUGGACAUGUUCCUUGGAAUAGGACGUCGUAGAGGGUGAGAACCCCGUACAUGCUACAGCCCAUCAGUGCUUUGUGAUACACACGUUCGACGAGUCGAGUUGUUUGGGAAUGCAGCUCAAAAUGGGUGGUAAAUUCCAUCUAAAGCUAAAUAUUGGGGAGAGACCGAUAGCAAACAAGUACCGUGAGGGAAAGAUGAAAAGCACUUUGGAAAGAGAGUUAAACAGUACGUGAAAUUGUCAAAAGGGAAGCGCUUCAAGUCAGAUAUGACUUUGCGUGUUCAGCCUCACGGUGUAUUCACACAAUGUUCAGGCCAGCAUCGAUUUUGCGCAUUGGAGAAGGGUGGAAGGAACGUAGCACCCUCUCGGGGGUGUGUUAUAGCCUUCCACUGGAUACAAUGUGCGGGAUCGAGGAAUGCAGCACACCCGCAAGGGCAGAUCUUCGGAUACUUUUGUGCUUAGGAUGCUGGCGUAAUGGCUUGAAGCGACCCGUCUUGAA
rnacentral:rRNA from 1 species